UACGUAGGGAGCAAGCGUUGUCCGGAAUCAUUGGGCGUAAAGCGCGCGUAGGUGGCCUCAUAAGUCCGCUGUGAAAGUCCAAGGCUCAACCUUGGAAAGCCGGUGGAUACUGUGAGGCUAGAGUACGGAAGAGGCGAGUGGAAUUCCUGGUGUAGCGGUGGAAUGCGCAGAUAUCAGGAGGAAUACCCAUAGCGAAGGCAGCUCGCUGGGACGUUACUGACGCUGAGGCGCGAAAGCGUGGGGAGCGAACAGG
rnacentral:rRNA from 1 species